UACGUAGGGUGCAAGCGUUAAUCGGAAUUAUUGGGCGUAAAGGGCGCGUAGGCGGCUUUGCAAGUGACGGGUGAAAUCCCUCGGCUUAACCGAGGAACUGCCUGUCAGACUGUAAGGCUUGAGACCGGGAGAGGUGAGUGGAAUUCCCAGUGUAGCGGUGAAAUGCGUAGAUAUUGGGAGGAACACCAGUGGCGAAGGCGGCUCACUGGACCGGUACUGACGCUGAGGCGCGAAAGCGUGGGGAGCAAACAGG
rnacentral:rRNA from 1 species